GAUGAACGCUGGCGGCGUGCCUAAUACAUGCAAGUCGAGCGAACAGAUGAGGAGCUUGCUCCUCUGACGUUAGCGGCGGACGGGUGAGUAACACGUGGAUAACCUACCUAUAAGACUGGGAUAACUUCGGGAAACCGGAGCUAAUACCGGAUAAUAUAUUGAACCGCAUGGUUCAAUAGUGAAAGACGGUUUUGCUGUCACUUAUAGAUGGAUCCGCGCCGCAUUAGCUAGUUGGUAAGGUAACGGCUUACCAAGGCGACGAUGCGUAGCCGACCUGAGAGGGUGAUCAGCCACACUGGAACUGAGACACGGUCCAGACUCCUACGGGAGGCAGCAGUAGGGAAUCUUCCGCAAUGGGCGAAAGCCUGACGGAGCAACGCCGCGUGAGUGAUGAAGGUCUUCGGAUCGUAAAACUCUGUUAUUAGGGAAGAACAAAUGUGUAAGUAACUAUGCACGUCUUGACGGUACCUAAUCAGAAAGCCACGGCUAACUACGUG
rnacentral:rRNA from 1 species